AUUGAACGCUGGCGGCAGGCUUAACACAUGCAAGUCGAGCGAGAGGCGGACGGGUGAUUAAUGUCUGGGAAACUGCCUGAUGGAGGGGGAUAACUACUGGAAACGGUAGCUAAUACCGCAUACCAUCGGAUGUGCCCAGAUGGGAUUAGCUAGUAGGUGGGGUACUGGCUCACCUAGGCGCCGAUCCCUAGCUGGUCUGAGAGGAUGACCAGCCACACUGGGACUGGGACACGGUCCAGACUCCUACGGGAGGCAGCAGUGGGGAAUAUUGAACAAUGGGCGCAAGCCUGAUGCAGCCAUGCCGCGUGUGUGAAGAAGGCCUUCGGGUUGUAAAGCACUUUCAGCGGGGAGGCGGUACUCGCAGAAGAAGCACCGGCUAACUCCGUGCCAGCAGCCGCGGUAAUUC
rnacentral:rRNA from 1 species